UCCAGUCAGACUGCAGAAGAACAGAGCAAGUAUCUCCAAGAAAAACUUCACCCCCAUCUUCUUCUUCAUAGGCUUUUCUUCCUCUUGAUCAGCCGCAUCUUCGUUCCCCGCCUUUUUUCCUUUUUUUUUGUAAAUGUUGAUUAAACAAACAAGAUUGCUUCCACCUAUUAUUCUAUGGAUCUUAAUCUUUUUGGAAACUUUCAUAUUAAGGUAUGCUUGAACUAUUCUACACUUUGCACGGAUGAAACCAAUAAAAAACAAAUGAAGUUCAAAGGAGUUAUCUGAGCUGCCGCCGAGAUGAAAAGGGGAAAUAAUUGCUAAGAGAGCCUUUAGGUUUUUUGGUUGUACAAGUGCUUGCUUCAUGGUGACUGGUUCUGCUCUUGGUUCGGUGAAUUUCUAGAGAUCUUAACCUUCUCUUCAGCAGACUCCUACCCAUGUGUACAAGAAGUUAGGAAGCUGAUUCUAGCAGUGAUAAAAGUAAAAUUCAAUUUUCCUGGCAUGUUCUUUAUGGGAAAUCGCUUAUGUGAAUGCAACUAUAGAUUACCUCAGAAUCAUCAAACGAAUCAGCUCUUCAAAGCACAAAGCCAUCUGCUGCAGACUUCAAGAUUAACUGGAUAACCAAAUGGAUAGAGAGCAUCCCUGGUUCAUUAUACUGCAAUCGCUUCUUCCUUGAAUGAGCUGUGUAUUUCCUAGCACUUACUAACAAAGACUUCUAAAUGAACUCCAUAAGUAAAUGGAUGAAGCAUAUCUUUGCCUCACGUAGAGAACUACAAGAAAGACUGGAAGCAUAUGCAGCUCUCCACUUCCGAUUGUGUCGAGUCUUGUGUUGAGCAUUGUGUCAAGUCUUCAUGGGUGCUAGUACUUGAGAGAAAAAGGGCAUUUCAUAGCCUUUUUGUAUUUUUGUAAUUUAUACCUUUUGAAACAUUAUGAAUAUUGUGCUGAUACUGCUUUCUGUUGGUAAAAUCUGGGGGAGAAAGAAAUCCAGCAAGUCCUGUAACUUACAAUUAUACUUUUUUGUUUUAUUCCUAGAUGAGAGUCCCAUUUUCUCAA